ACCAGCUGGGGAGGAAGACGUCUGACUUCAUCUCUAUCGAUGUGAAAUCUGUUGGUAGAACAACAAGGAUAAUUCACAUCACCAGGUGGACUCUGGUCUCUGUGAUGCUGAUUCUUCUGCUUGUCUUUUGUCUGUGGACGAGGAAGAAGAAAGCUGUGAGCUCCACCACUGAACCACAUGAGUCCAGAGAGGCUGUGGAGGUGAGACAUUUGUCCUCAGAGACAGAACUCACCAAAGGGUCAUCGUAGAGAGUCUUGCUGCAACAAACCACACUGCAUGUUCUCCUGCAGGCUUAAUGUUAUUGUUGGAAUGCUUCAUAUGAGCUUUAUUCCUUGGGUGACAGAUUUAUGUUUGUUACACAUUAAUGAGAAUAAUUCAUAUUCGACUGUCAUGCUAAGCUAGCUAACGUCAUUAGC